rnacentral:lncRNA from 1 species
UUUUUUUUUGUAAAUUUGAAGAGAUAUCGAUGAAAAAAUUUGGUAAAUAUGUUCAUUUUCCACAAUAUUAUCUUGCCAAAAUUACUUGACACAAUUGAAGUUAUUGAUACAACUUCAAUAGUAAAACACAAUAACACAAAAAAUUAAUCAAAUUUAUUACAACUAAGAGAGAAGAAUUCUCAAGAAAACUUAGUCAAAUUCACAAAAGAUAAAACAUUACAUAAGUUCAAAAAUAGAACACUUUCAUUAGAAGUCUUCUCGGAAGACUUAAAUUUAAAGCGGCAAAUUGAAAUAUAAGCGGCAAAUUUAAGCGGAAAAUUAAAAUUUAAGCGGGAAACUCAAAAUUUUAAGUGAAAAUUUGAAAUUUCUAAUUUUAUGAAAGUUAAAAAGUGCAUCUUAUGAUCUAAGAAGACACGUUAAACCAUGUUACUUGAUAUUCUUGAAGUUACUUAACAAAUUUACAAAAAUUAACAUAGAAGACUUCGAUAGAAGUCUUUUGGAAACAUUAAUACACAUGAAUGUUGGUAAGCUCAUAAUUAAAACCAAUUAAGU